UCGCAGCUUGUGCGUCACGACGCCGCCAGCUGAUCGGAGACUGAAGCCGGUGUGUGCUGGGCGCUGUGAAGAGACAGCCGCCGGCCGUGGGGAGAGGACGCAGUGGUUUGCUCCCCUACCUUCAGCAACCCCCACACCCAGCAUAAGGAACCUGUGCCUCCCACACCCUCACCUGGCUGAGCCGCAGUAGUUCUUCAGUGGCAAGCUUUAUGUCCUGACCCAGCUAAAGCUGCCAGUUGAAGAACUGUUGCCCUCUGCCCCUGGCUUCGAGGAGGAAGAGGAGGAGCAGAGUCUUUGCCUAUCAUCUGGAAGGUGACAGAACUGGGUUUGGGAAGUCCUGCUCAGCUGGGGAACCCUCACCCACACAGGCCCUGCAAGAGAAGAUUUAGGUUAAAAGUGCUGGCUGAAUUGGGGAAUAGGUGACUCCAUCUCCCCAAGGUUAGUUGGUCUUUGUGUGGCAAUGGGAAGAAGCAGAAAGAAGGAAAGUCUGUCUACCCUUUUACCCACAUUUCAUCCUAGGCCUUCCUUAUCUCCCAUCCUCCCCUCCUCUUUCCAAGUAAGGUCCAAAAGUAAGCGUACUCAGGUGACUGAAUUGCAGAUCUAGGUUGUCCUCCCUGUGCUUUUACCUCUCUCUGUAUUUUAUAUACUGGUUUAGAUUUUAGAUUUAGGGCUGCUUACCUCCAUGAAGUGUUUAUACCCAUCAGAGCCUGGGUUCUCUUGUGAGUAGGAACAAAACAGCUCAUCACAUAAAUUGUUGUCCCUUACCCAUCUCUGAUUACACAAGCCCAGUGCUGGAGUACUAGGAUAGAGGGAAAGGUGAAGGCUAGAUCAAUGCAAGAAGCUAAUAGGAAGCCAUGCAAGGGUGGCCUUGGGUCACCUCUACCCACAGUAGGACUACAGCUCUUGGUUGGGUCUUAGCAACUACUGCUAUUCUUUCUGCCUUUGCUUUCCAAGAUUAGUAAGUGAGAUUCAGUUCAGGACUGUGCAGGCAAGAAAUUGUCUCCUCUAGCAACCAGGAGGGAUGGGUUGUGGGAUCUGAGCCUCUUGUGAACAUCAGGCAUCAUAAACCUGCACCUCCAGCUCCUGAUCUCACUCUUAGGCUUGGACUCUGGGAUUCAACCUUGGCCCUGUCUCCCUAAUAAAAGAUGGCCAAGUUUGGGGGCUACAGGAAGCUAUUUGUUCUGUUUGGUGGGAGGAGAUAUGACGGGCACUCUAUCCUAUUCUCCAUUUAUGAGAAACUGAAAGCCAUAGGGGAGAGUAGAUCAUUGAAUCCAGCCCUGCUGCAGCCUAAGCUGAAGGGUAGGAUGUGUGAGGGACUGAGUAGAGUGGGGUUGGUUAGCUGAGUCUGUUCAUACAUUCCAACAAAGAUCACUCUGUCCCUGGACAUUACUUUCUUCCCCUCCUCACUUCACUGGCCACAGUGUGUCCCCUUCCAGCCCUGGGUACAUGGCUUUGCAUCUUCACCCAACAUGGAACAGAAGUGAGGAAGGGCAGCCUGGCAACACAGAGGCAGGCAGAAGACCAGUGAAGGAUCUGGCCUGGAGCCACAGGGCCCUCCCUAUCUGGGUAUUUGUCAGAGAGACCCAUAAAACUCUGGAGUACACCAGGAAGGAGAACAGCCAGCCUCCGUCAAAGACAAGUUCCAGCCAUUUCCUCUGCAGAUCUACCUCUCUUGGAGAUAAGGACCCUUAAUGAAGUGUGGUCCCAUUUUUCUCUACCAUGCAGUUUCUAUAUAAGCAGCCUCAAGGAGCAUGAGCCAGCUGUGCAAGGACAUACACAGGAAAUUAAAAUGUGUAACACUAUGGAAAAUGUAUUCUUGACUGGGGCUGUAGCUCAGUUGGUAGAAUGCUUGCCUAGCAUGCACAAAACCCUGGGUUCUGUCUCCAGCUCUGCAUAAAACUGGAUGUGGUGGCACAGGCCUGUAAUCUCAGCACUCUGGAGGUGGUGGCAAGAGGAUCCAACAUUCAAGGACAUCCUUUGCUACACAUUGAGUUCUAAGCCAGCCUGGACUACAUGAGACCCUGUCUCCAAGAAAUAUAUAUUCAUUAAUAAUCUAAAGGCAGACAUUGCUCAAAGUAUUUUUUUCCUUAUCACAGUAUGACAAAUAAGACCCCCAAAAAUGUUCCCAUAUGUUGCAUGUGGCCAUAUCAAACACCAGAAGAAAUUCCCUGUCUUUUUAACCCAGUAAUUAUGUGUUGGGAAAUUUAUCUUAAAAUAAGAAUUUGAUUAUAAAAUGUUUGUUUCAGA